UCCGCAGGGGGUUUGCCAAGUCCGAUGUGAAAUCUCAUGGCUCAACUGUGAAACUGCAUUGGAUACUGGCGGACUGGAGUGUGCGAGAGGUGAGCGGAAUUCCUGGUGUAGCGGUGGAAUGCGUAGAUAUCAGGAAGAACACCGAUGGCGAAGGCAGCUCACUGGCGCAGCACUGACCCUCAGGGACGAAAGCGUGGGGAGCAAACA
rnacentral:rRNA from 1 species